CAGACGUAAAGUGAAACGUCUGCAAGUAUUUUACGACACUUCGUUCUCAGUCAGUAGUUUAGCCUGCUGCGUUUUUCUUGUUCAUUUUAAACUGCAUCACGUUCUGAGAGGAAUACCAGCAGUGAAUAGACGUGCGGCAGUGAAUAGACGUGCGGCUGCACAACAACGGUCGUGUGAGAAUGUUUUAUUUUUAUUUUCACUUAGAAUCAAAUCUAACCUAAAGCUUCCAUUUGCAACCUGCAAAAUCAGUAAAAAAUAUUGUGUAUAGAAUAGAACAGCAGACUUGGUUGUAAGACUUGGUUGGUUUGCAGCCUCUGGUUUUACCCGCAACACUUCUGUUGGGAUACAAAACACAUCAUUGAAAAUGGCGGAACUUGAGGACGCAGGACUACCCCCAAAAAUGCAGGAGACCCGAGAUGAAGAGGAGCCGGGCAAUUCAAAGGCAGAGGAGAUGGACACCUCAGAAGACCUGCAAGAUGACAACCUGAUCAAGCGGGAACACUUCCACAGUUUUAAUAAUAAGCAGCAGGAUGGACAUUUGGCAGUUAGGAGGAAUGUUAUAUUAGAACGAACAAAAUUCAACCAAAGACAACAAGAAGCAGGAGAGACGGCUGAUGAUUUUAUCUCUGCACUUCAUUGUUUGUCAGAACAUUGUGGUUAUGGAGCUCUGCUCAGUGAGAUGAUAAGAGACAGACUAGUCAUGGGCUUACGUGACAGAACACUGUCCGAGCAAUUACAAAUGGACCCAGAAAUAACACUGGAUAAAGCUGUCACACGCAUUCGUCAAACUGAAUUUGUGAAAAAGCAACAGGACCUGCCAGAGAAUAACUUCAAAGCUGCCAGCAGUGCAGCAAAUGUAGAGAGUGAGCUUUCACAUAGCACACCGCAAUGCCCAGCCAACACCCAGUGCCAAUCCGAGAAAAAUAAUAAAAACUCAGACGGACUACAACAACCCCAAACAACACUGGAGAAUGGAGAGGAGCCCAAACAUACAGGUGGCACUGAUGAUUGGAUUGAGGGUUUCCGUCCUGGAGGAGAGAAGCCUCACUACUGCUUUGAUUGCGGUAAGAGCUUUAGAAAAGUGAGGGAUCUUAUAAGACACCAGCGAACACAUACUGGAGAGAAGCCUCACCACUGCCCCGAUUGUGAACAAAGUUUUGCUCGAUUAGAUCGUCUUAAGUCACACCAACUAACACAUACAGGAAUGAAGGCUCACCAAUGCCCUGAUUGUGACAAAAGUUAUUCUCAAUCGUAUCAUUUGAAAAGACAUCACCUGCGAAAGCAUAUGAAAGAGAAGUACUUCCACUGCAAUCUUUGUGAGGAACUUUUCUCCAAACCGAAAGAUCUAAAAACACACAUGCAUGUACAUGCUGGAGAAAAGGCAUACCUUCAGCAAGAAACUCAUACAGGUAAGAAUCCUUACCACUGCUCUGAAAUGAAUCAGUGCUCUGACUGUGGGAAGAGCUUUCGACAAGUGGGGGAUCUUAAAAGACACCAACGAACACAUACUGGAGAGAAGCCUUACCACUGCCCUGAUUGUGACAGAGGUUUCGGUCGAUUAGAUCGCCUUAAGUCACACCAGCUAACACAUACAGGAGUGAAAGCUCACCAAUGCCCUGAUUGUGACAAAAGUUAUUCUCAAUCGUAUCAUUUGAAAAGACACCACCAGCGAAAGCAUAUGAAAGGGAAAUACUUCCGCUGCAAUCAUUGUGAGGAACUUUUCUCCAAACCAGAAGAUCUAAAAACACACAUGCAUGUACAUACUGGGGAAAAUGCAUACCUUCCACAAGACACUCCUACAGGAAAGAAACCUUACCACUGUUCAAGGUGUGAUAAAAGAUUUCCUGACAUGGCAAAACUACGAUCACACCUUCCAGUACAUACUGGAGACCUGGCACUCCACUGUUCUGACUGUGGAAAGUGUUUCUUAAACAAGGCAAAGUUUGAAAGACAUCAAAGAACACACACUGAAAGUGUACUAUACCUUUGCACUGACUGUGGGGAGGGUUUUACAAAUAUGCAACGGUUGGAAAGGCACCAGCGAAUGCACACUGGAGAGAAACCAUACCACUGCACUGAUUGUGGGAAGAGUUUUGCACUUGAAAAAACAUUUAAGUGUCACAAGCAAGCACACAAGUUCAAACUCUCUGGAGAAAGAGCAGCCUAUCCUUGCUCGGAAUGUGGAAAUACUUUUUCUCGUUCAUGUGACGUGAUGACUCAUGUGAGAAGGGUGCAUAAUAAAGAGAGACCUUUCCAGUGCUCCUGCUGUGGAAAAAGAUUUUUUCAAAAGAACUCACUCACAAUACACAUGAGAAUUCACACUGGAGAGAAACCAUACCACUGCUCGGAAUGUGGACAAAGCUUCUCCCAAAUUAACGACAGAAAACGGCACCAGAGGAGGCAACACACUGGAGAGGAGACGACGACCUCUAUUCUGCAGUCUGAAAGGCAAAGUCACAGAGACUCUCAAUAAGAAAGGACUAACAACAGAGACACAAAAAUGCAAUAUAGUAACAAUAUCACUGUCUUAAUGCAUCUUUUUUUUCUAAUGGUAAACUUUAUUUUAUAAACCACAUUUCAAAAAUAUCUUAUCACUCUUUUAGUUUCCACCCUGCAUAAAUGAAUUCAUCAAUUCUUGCCUGCACCUAAAUCAUUCCGUAAGGCCAAACGACCAAAUGGGUAAUUAUUUGCCCAGUUAACUACCCAAAAUACUAUUUCAAAGAUUACAGCAACUGCAGUAAACAUGGGCUAUUAGAACCAAGGUGUGAAUAUCAGUGAUGUGAUCAUCAGAGUAUAAAUCAUGUAUGGCUAUUUGGGAAAUCCAAUUAAAAAUAACAAUUUCUCAGUAUUCAAAUUGGUGAAGAGUUAUUAGAUGUCCAUGUUAUUUAGGUUGGCAUGUACUCUCCUCACCUCUGAAAGAGCGGUCAGAAGAUAGUUGUAGCUACUGACAGUUUAUUUUUUUUAACAUUUGAAACGUCUUGAAUUCUAGAAGCCCUUUUCCACAUUUCUUGCAUGAAUAUGGUCUGACUCCUGUGUGCACUUGCAUGUUGGCUGCGACAUGAAUGACUUGGCUGAAUCUUCUCCCGCAGACGUCACAGCUGAAAGGCUUCUCUCAUGGACUUGCCUUUUGAGAUAACUGAUUAGUAGAACGUCUCUCACAAUCACUGCACUUGUGUGGUUUUCUCACCUGUAUUGAUCAGCACAUGUAUUUUAAGAGAGAGUUUUGUAAUAUAGCUCUUUCCACAACAGCCUUAAGCUUUGGUCUUCGCCAGUGUGAAAUUUCUGGUUAUAUUCAAAAGUAGCUUUAUGGAGAAGUUUUUACGCAUGCGAAACAAAUGUAUAUGUUUUCUCCUGUGAAGUUUCCCAUCUAUUUACAGAGAACUGAUGGAGCUGUAGCCCUUCAAACAUAUCUCACUGCUGAGAGGGGUUUGGUUGGUCAGUUUUGGUUGUCUUGCUCCUUGAGUGUUUUAACCAUUACCCGUGUGUGAUAGCUUGGCUAUUCUCAGUUGAUUAUUGUAAUAAAUUCUUUACACAUACA